rnacentral:rRNA from 1 species
CCUACGGGCGACAGCAGUGAGGAAUAUUGGUCAAUGGUCGUAAGCCUGAACCAGCCAAGUCGCGUGCAGGAUGACGGUCCUAUGGAUCGUAAACUUCUUUUAUGCGGGGAUAAAAUGUGGCACGUGUCCUAUUUUGUAUGUACCUCAUGAAUAAGGAUCGGCUAAUUCCGUGCCAGCAGCCGCGGUAAUACGGAGGGUCCGAGCGUUAUCCGGAUUUAUUGGGUUUAAAGGGGGCGUAGGCGGCCUUUUAAGCGAGCCGUGAAAUGCUGUGGCUCAACCAUGGAAUUGCCGUGGGAACUGGGGGGCUGGAGGGGGUGGAAGGUAGGCGGAAUUCGUGGUGUAGCGGUGAAAUGCUUAGAUAUCACGCAGAACCCCGAUUGCGAAGGCAGCAUGCCGAGGCGUGACUGACGCUGAAGCACGAAGGCGUGGGGAUCGAACAGGAUUAGAUACCCCAGUAGUC